AGUUGCUUCCUUACUACUGUUACUACACCAGGAGGCUGGAGCUCAAGAAUGAAGAAAAAUGACAAACGGAAUGGAAAGCAAGGUGAAAAAUAAUUCAGAGAGAGGUUUGGGAGAUCAUGGCACAGGCAUCAGGACCUGAGUUUGGAUCCUAGCAUCCGUUUAAUGGCUGAGCUCUUAUCUCCACACUCCCAAAGGUAGGGAGGAAGAAACGUGAAUUUCUGGAACCCAUUGGCACGCAUGCCCAUCUACACGAGCAUGUAUGUGCACCUCACACACAGAGAAAGAAAAAGGAAUGAAUCCAGCAUCCAGGAUGACCUUGAACCUCUGGGCUUCCUGCUUCCAGCUUCCAGAGGCAGGUUUUACAGGGGUGUGUCACCAUGCCUGGCUGGGCAGUUGACAUUUUUUUCAUGGAGACUUAAAAAGCAGUGAAUUAUAUGUCUCUAAGUCGCUCUUUCUCAAAAAUGAAUAACAAAGUAUCAAGAAUGAAA
rnacentral:lncRNA from 1 species